UAGUGGCGAACGGGUGAGUAACACGUGGGCAAUCUGCCCUUCACUCUGGGACAAGCCCUGGAAACGGGGUCUAAUACCGGAUAAUACUUCUGCCUGCAUGGGCGGGGGUUGAAAGCUCCGGCGGUGAAGGAUGAGCCCGCGGCCUAUCAGCUUGUUGGUGGGGUGAUGGCCUACCAAGGCGACGACGGGUAGCCGGCCUGAGAGGGCGACCGGCCACACUGGGACUGAGACACGGCCCAGACUCCUACGGGAGGCAGCAGUGGGGAAUAUUGCACAAUGGGCGAAAGCCUGAUGCAGCGACGCCGCGUGAGGGAUGACGGCCUUCGGGUUGUAAACCUCUUUCAGCAGGGAAGAAGCGAAAGUGACGGUACCUGCAGAAGAAGCGCCGGCUAACUACGUGCCAGCAGCCCGCGGUAAUACGUAGGGCGCAAGCGUUGUCCGGAAUUAUUGGGCGUAAAGAGCUCGUAGGCGGCUUGUCGCGUCGGAUGUGAAAGCCCGGGGCUUAACCCCGGGUCUGCAUUCGAUACGGGCAGGCUAGAGUGUGGUAGGGGAGAUCGGAAUUCCU
rnacentral:rRNA from 1 species